ensembl:lncRNA
UGUUGACUCCCUCCUUCUCUGCUCCAUCAGUCGGCUGGGCUCUGGGCUGUUGACUCUCUCCUUCCCUCCUUCCUGCUCCAUCAGUCGGCUGGGCUCUGGGCUGUUGACUCUCUCCUUCCCUCCUUCCUGCUCCAUCAGUCGGCUGGGCUCUGGGCUGUUGACUCUCUCCUUCCUCCUUCUCUGCUCCAUCAGUCGGCUGGGCUCUGGGCUGUUGACUCUCUCCUUCCCUCCUUCCUGCUCCAUCAGUCGGCUGGGCUCUGGGCUGUUGACUCUCUCCUUCCCUCCUUCCUGCUCCAUCAGUCGGCUGGGCUCUGGGCUGUUGACUCUCUCCUUCCCUCCUUCCUGCUCCAUCAGUCGGCUGGGCUCUGGGCUGUUGACUCUCUCCUUCCCUCCUUCUCUGCUCCAUCAGUCGGCUGGGCUCUGGGCUGUUGACUCCCUCCUUCCCUCCUUCCUGCUCCUCGGCUGGGCUCUGGGCUGUUGACUCUCUCCUUCCCUCCUUCCUGCUCCAUCAGUCGGCUGGGCUCUGGGCUGUUGACUCUCUCCUUCCCUCCUUCUCUGCUCCAUCAGUCGGCUGGGCUCUGGGCUGUUGACUCUCUCCUUCCCUCCUUCCUGCUCCAUCAGUCGGCUGGGCUCUGGGCUGUUGACUCCUCCUCCUUCCCACCUUCCUGCACCGUCAGUCGGCUGGGCUCUGGGCUGUUGACUCCCUCCUUCCCUCCUUCCCUGCUCCAUCAGUCGGCUGGGCUCUGGGCUGUUGACUCCCUCCUUCCCUCCUUCCUGCUCCAUCACUCGGCUCUGGGCUGUUGACUCCCUCCUUCCCUGCUCCAUCAGUCGGCUGGGCUCUGGGCUGUUGACUCCCUCCUUCCCUCCUGUCCUUGGAGGAGGUCCAGUGUUGCCG